GAUCUCGUAGUGUAGAGGUUAUCACGCCUGUUUGACACACAGGAGGUCGGCGGUUCAAACCCGCCCGAGAUCA
rnacentral:tRNA from 1 species